CAUAUAAAUCGCAGUCGCUUGCGCUCACACUUUCUUUUCUCUUCAUCGGCCGUAGUAUGCUGGUUUGAGCAUGGAGUACUUGGAUUGGCGUUAUUAAAAGUACAUCAUGGACCAGAAGAGCUGAAGAUUUCUUGAAUUUUUAAAAAAUGACAGGUGGAUGACACAUUGGAGAUUUUGGCAUUAAGUCUGACAGAUUACUACAAGAGUGCAAUGGCUUUGCAGGGGUGAUGCAUAGCUUGGCCAAAGCAGAUGGGUGACCCAUGAACGCCGAGAGUUAAGGAGCUGUUAUGCUGAUCUAAAGAGAAUGGAGUGCUGAGAUCACACUGCUGGGGAUGCCAUUCUCCCAGACAAGAUGCAUGCAGCAUUUCGCAAAGCACCUCAGCCUCCCAGACCUAUUCAAGGACGUCAAGGUUUGGCGUCAUUUGCCUCAAUUCUAAGCAUCAUGUCCGAUCACCUGUGCAGCUCCAUCCCACCGACGAAGCAUGUUGAAGACCUACGAGGAGUUUCUCAAACUAUACACUCUAAUAUAUAUAGAUGGAUGGAUGAUGGACACUUUAUUUAUCCAGAAGGAAAUUUAGGUGUCCAGUAGCUUAUACACAGUAUACAUGCACAUAAGCACACAUAUAUACUGCAAAAAAUACAAAGGAAAAUAUCAAUUGUGUGCCAUUCCAGUGAGGAAAAAUAACAAAAUAAACAAAAGAAAAAUGUAUCCUCUUGCUCAGUUGUGCACCAUGCCCUCCUUCUCCUCUUUCUGUUGAGGUUAGAGCUGGCCUGCGCUGCUCUGUGAAGGGAGUGAUAUACAGCAUUGUACAAGAUCUUCAGUUUCCUGGCAAUUUCUUGCAUACAGUGAAUAGCCUUCAUUUCUCAGAACAAGAACAGACUGAUGAGUUUCAGAAGAAAGUUCUUUGUUUCUGACCAUUUUGAACGGCAAUGAGAAAUGCUGUUUUGCAGUGCAGAAGUGACAUUAUGGUGUGGUGAUUACACUAGCUGUUGUACAAUUGUUAAUUGUCAUUUGAGAUUUAAAAAAGAAUAAUAUAGUGGUCUCAAUUUUUCCCCCAGCUGUAUGCCAAUGUGACGUUUGCGUUUUAUUUUUAAUAAAUUUGAAAAAAUGUCUAAAA